rnacentral:piRNA from 1 species
UACUGAUUGUAUCGCUGACGCCAAUAGU